rnacentral:rRNA from 1 species
CCUACGGGAGGCAGCAGUGGGGAAUUUUGGACAAUGGGCGAAAGCCUGAUCCAGCAAUGCCGCGUGCAGGAUGAAGGCCUUCGGGUUGUAAACUGCUUUUGUACGGAACGAAACGGUUCGCCUUAAUACGGUGGGCUAAUGACGGUACCGUAAGAAUAAGCACCGGCUAACUACGUGCCAGCAGCCGCGGUAAUACGUAGGGUGCGAGCGUUAAUCGGAAUUACUGGGCGUAAAGCGUGCGCAGGCGGUUAUAUAAGACAGAUGUGAAAUCCCCGGGCUCAACCUGGGACCUGCAUUUGUGACUGUAUAGCUAGAGUACGGUAGAGGGGGAUGGAAUUCCGCGUGUAGCAGUGAAAUGCGUAGAUAUGCGGAGGAACACCGAUGGCGAAGGCAAUCCCCUGGACCUGUACUGACGCUCAUGCACGAAAGCGUGGGGAGCAAACAGGAUUAGAUACCCUGGUAGUCCACGCCCUAAACGAUGUCAACUGGUUGUUGGGUCUUCACUGACUCAGUAACGAAGCUAACGCGUGAAGUUGACCGCCUGGGGAUACGGCCGCAAGGUUGAAACGUCAAAUGAAUUGACGGCUGAGAGNGCGAGACGACGACGAGGGAGGAGG